rnacentral:ncRNA from 1 species
AGACGGUAUCUGAGACAAGAUACCGGGCCCUACGGGGCGCAGCAGGCGCGAAACCUUUACACUGCACGCGAGUGCGAUAAGGGGACUCCGAGUGCGAGGGCAUAUAGUCCUCGCUUUUCACGACCGUAAGGAGGUCGUAGAAUAAGUGCUGGGCAAGACCGGUGCCAGCCGCCGCGGUAAUACCGGCAGCACGAGUGAUGACCGCUAUU